AGAAAAUGUUGAAAACCGAAGAUACGACAAAAAAUUAAAGAGGAAAAGCUUAGAAAAUAUUGAAAACCGAAGAUACGACAAAAAAUUAAAGAGGAAAAGCUUAGAAAAAUAUUGAAAACUUAAGAUCGACAAAGAAUUAAAUAGGAAAAUAUAGACGUAAUGGAAAUGGAAACUCGGAUAAAUAGAAUGAUAACAAAAGAAUAAGAUUAAUGAAAGAUAUACCAAUGAAAUGAAGGGAUACGAAACUUAGCUUAGAAAAAUAUUGAAAACUUAAGAUCGACAAAGAAUUAAAGAGGAAAAGAUAGACGUAAUGGAAAUGGAAACUCGGAUAAAUAGAAUGAUAAUGAAAGAAUAGGAUUAAUGAAGGAUUACGCAAUGAAAUGAAGGGAUACGAAACUUAGCUUAGAAAAAUAUUGAAAACUUAAGAUCGACAAAGAAUUAAAGAGGAAAAGAUAGACGUAAUGGAAAUGGAAACUCGGAUAAAUAGAACGAUAAUGAAAGAAUAGAAUUAAUGGAGGAUUACGCACUGAAAUGAAGGAAUACGAAACAAAGGCUUAGAAAAAUAUUGAAAACUUAAGAUCGACAAAGAAUUAAAGAGGAAAAUAUAGACGUAAUGGAAAUGGAAACUCGGAUAAACAGAAUGAUGAUGAAAGAAUAGGAUUAAUGAAGGAUUACGCAAUGAAAUGAAGGGAUACGAAACUCAGCUCAGGAAAUUAUUAAAAACUGAAGAUCGACAAAGAAUUAAAGAGGAAAAUAUAGACGUAAUGGAAAUGGAAACUCGGAUAAAUAGAAUGAUAAUGAAAGAAUAGGAUUAAUGAAAGAUAUACCAAUGAAAUGAAGGAAUACGAAACUUAGCUUAGAAAAAUAUUGAAAACUUAAGAUCGACAAAGAAUUAAAGAGGAAAAUAUAGACGUAAUGGAAAUGGAAACUCGGAUAAAUAGAACGAUAAUGAAAGAAUAGGAUUAAUGAAGGAUUACGCAAUGAAAUGAAGGGAUACGAAACUUAGCUUAGAAAAAUAUUGAAAACUUAAGAUCGACAAAGAAUUAAAGAGGAAAAUAUAGACGUAAUGGAAAUGGAAACUCGGAUAAAUAGAAUGAUAAUGAAAGAAUAGGAUUAAUGAAGGAUUACGCAAUGAAAUGAAGGAAUACGAAACAAAGGCUUAGAAAAAUAUUGAAAACCAAAGAUCGACAAAGAAUUAAAGAGGAAAAUAUAGACGUAAUGGAAAUGGAAACUCGGAUAAAUAGAAUGAUAAUGAAAGAAUAGGAUAAAUAAAUUAUGAAAAAGGAGAAACAUAUAAAAUAAAAUAAUGAAAUAAACAAAAAUAAAACAUAACAAAAUAAUAAGACAAAUAAAAUAAUUAAAAUAAAAUAAUAAAAUAAUAAAAUAAAACGAAUAAAAUAAAAUAAAACAAAAAAUACAAAUUAAAUAAGAAAUAAAAUAAAUAACCAGACAAAUAAAACAAAUAAAAUAAAAAAAACAUACAAAUAAAAUCAGAAAUAAAAUAAAAUAAUAAAAUAAACAGACAAAUAAAAUAAAAUAAUAAAAUAAAGAGAAAUAAAAAAAUAUACAAAACAGAAAACAAACAGAAAAAAACAAAAAAAAAAUAACAAUAAAAUAACAAAAUAAAACCAAAAAAAUUAAAUAAUAAAAUACACCAAAAAAAAAGGAGAAACAAAAGAUGAUAAAAGGGAAUUGAAAGGAAAGAAAACACAAGCGUAAUAUUGAUGAAAUUGAUGAUAGUUAUUGACGCCAAGACACAAAACAAAGGAAGGAAAACAAGAUAAAAAUAUACACUGAAAAAUAUUGCCCCUUAAGAAUACACAGACGGACGAACGAACGGACGCAGGAAAAGGUCGAAUUGGGGAAAAAAAGAGGAAAUUCAUGAAAAGGUCCAGUGAAAAAAAUGAAAAAAAAGGGAGAAUAAUGAAAAAAAAUGGAAGAGGGAAAAUAUAAUGAAAAAUUUGAUGAAAAAAAUGGAAAAUAUAAUGAAAAAAUGGAAAAUAAUGAAAAAUGAUUAAAAUGGAAAAUAAUGAAAAAUAUGAAAAAUAAUGAAAAAUAAUGAAAAAUAUGAUGAAAAAAAUGGGAAAUAAUGAAAAAUAUGAAAAAAAAUGGAAAAAUAAUGAAAAAUAAUAAAAAAUAUGAUGAAAAAAAUCAGAAAUAAUGAAAAAUAUGAAAAAAAAGGAAAAAUAAUGAAAAAUAAUGAAAAAUAAUGAAAAAUAUGAAAAAAAAGGAAAAAUAAUGAAAAAUAAUGAAAAAUAUGAUGAAAAAAAUCAGAAAUAAUGAAAAAUAUGAAAAAUAAUGAAAAAUAAUGAAAAAUAUGAUGAAAAAAAUCAGAAAUAAUGAAAAAUAUGAAAAAAAAUGGAAAAUAAUGAAAAAUAUGAUGAAAAAAUAAUGAAAAAAAAUGUAAAUAUGAAAAAUGAAACAAAAUGAAUAAAAAAUAUUAACAAAAUACACACACACAAAAAAAAUGGAAAAAAUUAUAUGAAAAAAAUGAAAAACAAAAAUAAAGAUAAAAAAAUGAAAAUGGAAUAAAAAAAUGAAAAAUACAAUACAAUACAACACAAUAGUUAACCAUUACCAAAAACCAUCAAACUUAUUCACUAAUACACUAAAACAUAUCAUUGCAAAUCACUGUAUGUGUAUAUGUAUGUAUGUAUGUAUAUGUAUAAGUGACCUCUAUCAUUACUUCUAUCAAUACUAUUAUGCUCUAUUAAUACACCAACUAUUAGGUAUUAUGCAUCAUUAUCAGACAUCAUCAUUAUCAUUAUUAUUAUUAUUAUCAUUAUUUCGAUUAUUCUUGUAUUAAAUAAAACUUGCGACCCAAACACUUAAAUUCUACGGUAAAAAAAAAGUGUGGUUAUUUAUAUAUAUUGAGAGAGAGGGAGGAGGGGGGUGGGGGUGUCUGCAAAGGGAGAAUGAGCGAGUGUGUUUGACCUCUCGGCACACACACACUCACACACACACACACACAUUUGGCAAGGCAUUUGACAAGGACACAAUUGACAGAGGUGUUGUGUGUUGGUGUAAAGAACGCUUGCUAUUUUGAAAGGGCGAAAGUGAGUUCAUAAUUUUGUAGGUAAGGUUCGGGAAGGGAAGGGAAGGAGGGAAGGACACGGAGGGUUUGGAAAGGGAAGGGAAGGAAAGGGAAGGGAAGGAAAGGGAAGGGAAGGGAAGGGAAGGUUCGGGAAGGAAAGGGAAGGGAAGGGAAGGGAAGGAAAGGGAAGGAAAGGGAAGGGAAGGUUCAGAAAGGGAGGGGAAGGUUCAGAAAGGGAAGAGAAGGGAAGGAAAGAGAAGGAAAGGAAAGGAAAGGAAAGGGAAGGUUCAGAAAGGGAAGGGAAGGAAAGGGAAGGAAGGGGAAGGUUCAGAAAGGGAAUGCAAGAGAAAAAGAAGGUUAAUAAAGGGAAGGGAAGGGAAAGGAAGGUAUAUAAGGGAUGACUUUUAAAACAAGUACGAAAAAGACAGAAAAACGUAAACUUGACAAAAUUAAAAUAAAACAAUAAUAAAAUGUGUGUGUGUGUGUGUGUGUGUGUGUGUGUGUGUGUGUGUUAGUGUGUUCAUAUGUACAGCGUCGUAACCUGAUCCUACAACACUGAUACGGAACCUCCUCCUCCUCCUCCUCCUCCUCCUCCUCUUCCUCCUCCUCCUCCUCUCUCGUUGAUUAUAAACAAGUAUCACAAAAAAGACUUAAUGCUACGUGUGUGUGUGUUCGUUUGUUGGUGUUUGAUUAGGCUAUUGUGUUUUAUUUUAAUGUUUGUUCGUUCGUUUGUUUGGUUUUAUUUAUCUGGUUAUUGUUGUUUUUGUUGUUGUUGUUUACAUUUGAUUGCUUUUUCUUCAUGUUUUCCUUGUUUUCUUAAUUUCCUAUUGUCAUUAUUUUCUUUGUUUUCUUCUUUAUAAUAGUUUUUUUUCUUCUCAUUUUCCUCUUUUCUUCCUUUUUUCUGAUUUCCUUUCAUUCUUUUUUUCCUUCAAUUUCUUAUUAUUUUUAAUUUUCUUUUAUUUUCUUCAUUUUUGUCUUCAUUAAUUUUCUUUUUCUUCUUUUGUUUCGUUUUUUCUUUUCUUUCUUUUUCCUUCUAUUUCUUGUUAUUUUCCUUUUAUUUAUUUUCUUUUUUCUUAAUUUAUUUUCUUUUUCUUCAUUUUUCUUUUCUUUUCUUUCUUUCUUUUUCCUUCUAUUUCUUAUUAUUUUCCUUCUAUUUAUUUUCUUCUAUUUUUUUCAUUUAUUUUCUUCUAUUUUUUUCAUUUAUUUUCUUCUAUUUUCUUUUUUCUUCAUUUAUUUUAUUUGUCUUCCAUUUUCUUUCUCUCUACACACACUAUCUUUAUCUUUCCCUUCUAUCUUUAUUUUCUCAUUAUUAUUAUUAUUAUCUUAUUUUUCUCGAGGUUUCCAUUUUCUUUAUUUCUCUUUCUUUCUUUCUAUCUUCUUUCUCUCUCUACACACACUAUCUUUAUCUUUAUCUCACUAUCUUUAUCUUUUCCUUCUAUCUUUAUUCUCUCAUUAUUAUCUCUCUCAAUAUUCCCAUUUUCUUUCUUUCUUUAUUUUUCUUUCCAUCUUCUUUCUCUCUCUCUACACACACUAUCUUUAUCUUUCCCUUCUAUCUUUAUUUUCUCAUUAUCUUUUCCUUCUUCUUCUUCUUUUCUUUAUAAAACAACCCACUUUUUUUUUUU